rnacentral:rRNA from 1 species
UACGAAGGGGGCUAGCGUUCUCGGAAUUACUGGGCGUAAAGCGCACGUAGGCGGUUUCUUAAGUCGGGGGUGAAAUCCUGGAGCUCAACUCCAGAACUGCCUUCGAUACUGGGAAACUUGAGUCCGGGAGAGGUGAGUGGAACUGCGAGUGUAGAGGUGAAAUUCGUAGAUAUUCGCAAGAACACCAGUGGCGAAGGCGGCUCACUGGCCCGGUACUGACGCUGAGGUGCGAAAGCGUGGGGAGCAAACAGG